rnacentral:rRNA from 1 species
ACACGUAGGUAACCUGCCUAUAAGACUGGGAUAACUCCGGGAAACCGGGGCUAAUACCGGAUAACAUUUUGCACCGCAUGGUGCGAAAUUGAAAGGCGGCUUCGGCUGUCACUUAUAGAUGGACCUGCGGCGCAUUAGCUAGUUGGUGAGGUAACGGCUCACCAAGGCGACGAUGCGUAGCCGACCUGAGAGGGUGAUCGGCCACACUGGGACUGAGACACGGCCCAGACUCCUACGGGAGGCAGCAGUAGGGAAUCUUCCGCAAUGGACGAAAGUCUGACGGAGCAACGCCGCGUGAGCGAUGAAGGCCUUCGGGUCGUAAAGCUCUGUUGUUAGGGAAGAACAAGUGCUAGUUGAAUAAGCUGGCACCUUGACGGUACCUAACCAGAAAGCCACGGCUAACUACGUGCCAGCAGCCGCGGUAAUACGUAGGUGGCAAGCGUUAUCCGGAAUUAUUGGGCGUAAAGCGCGCGCAGGUGGUUUCUUAAGUCUGAUGUGAAAGCCCACGGCUCAACCGUGGAGGGUCAUUGGAAACUG